GAUGAACGCUGGCGGCGUGCCUAAUACAUGCAAGUCGAGCGAACGGACGAGAAGCUUGCUUCUCUGAUGUUAGCGGCGGACGGGUGAGUAACACGUGGAUAACCUACCUAUAAGACUGGGAUAACUUCGGGAAACCGUAGCCAAUACCGGAUAAUAUUUUGAACCGCAUGGUUCAAAAGUGAAAGACGGUCUUGCUGUCACUUAUAGAUGGAUCCGCGCUGCAUUAGCUAGUUGGUAAGGUAACGGCUUACCAAGGCAACGAUGCAUAGCCGACCUGAGAGGGUGAUCGGCCACACUGGAACUGAGACACGGUCCAGACUCCUACGGGAGGCAGCAGUAGGGAAUCUUCCGCAAUGGGCGAAAGCCUGACGGAGCAACGCCGCGUGAGUGUUGAAGGUCUUCGGAUCGUAAAACUCUGUUAUUAGGGAAGAACAUAUGUGUAAGUAACUGUGCACAUCUUGACGGUACCUAAUCAGAAAGCCACGGCUAACUACGUG
rnacentral:rRNA from 1 species